rnacentral:rRNA from 1 species
UGUAAGCGUAUACCAAAGUUGUUGCAGUUAAAACGCUCGUAGUCGGAAUUUGGCAGUUCCGGAAGUGUGCACGUCGUGUGCGCACUUUGCGGGGACUGCUUUUGUGGUCUUGCGUAGGAUGAGGCACUUUCAUUAGUGAACGUCCUCACGCAACCACUCUUUACUGUGAGAAAAUCAGAGUGCUCGAAGCAGGCAUUUGCCGUGAAUGUAUUAGCAUGGAAUAAUAGAAUAGGACUCGGUUCUAUUUUGUUGGUUUGUUGGGACUGAGUAAUGAUUAAGAGGGACAGUUGGGGGCAUUUGUAUUCCGGCGCUAGAGGUGAAAUUCUUAGAUUGCCGGAAGACAAACUGCUGCGAAAGCGUCUGCCAAGGAUGGUUUCAUUGA